UACGGGGGGGGCAAGCGUUGUUCGGAAUUACUGGGCGUAAAGGGCUCGUAGGUGGCCAACUAAGUCAGACGUGAAAUCCCUCGGCUUAACCGGGGAACUGCGUCUGAUACUGGAUGGCUUGAGUUCGGGAGAGGGAUGCGGAAUUCCAGGUGUAGCGGUGAAAUGCGUAGAUAUCUGGAGGAACACCGGUGGCGAAGGCGGCAUCCUGGACCGCGACUGACGCUGAAUAGCGAAAGCCAGGGGAGCAAACGGG
rnacentral:rRNA from 1 species